rnacentral:rRNA from 1 species
AGGCCUUUGGGCUGUAAACCUCUUUUCUCAAGGAAGAAGAUCUGACGGUACUUGAGGAAUAAGCCACGGCUAAUUCCGUGCCAGCAGCCGCGGUAAUACGGGAGUGGCAAGCGUUAUCCGGAAUUAUUGGGCGUAAAGCGUCCGCAGGCGGCCGUUUAAGUCUGUUGUUAAAUCGUGGAGCUCAACUCCAUCACGGCAAUGGAAACUGUUCGGCUUGAGUAUGGUAGGGGCAGAGGGAAUUUCCGGUGUAGCGGUGAAAUGCGUAGAUAUCGGGAAGAACACCAGUGGCGAAAGCGCUCUGCUGGGCCAUUACUGACGCUCAUGGACGAAAGCCAGGGGAGCGAAAGGGAUUAGAUACCCCUGUAGUCCUGGCCGUAAACGAUGAACACUAGAUGUUGGGGGAAUCGACCCCCUCGGUGUCGUAGCUAACGCGUUAAGUGUUCCGCCUGGGGAGUACGCACGCAAGUGUGAAACUCAAAGGAAUUGACGGGGGCCCGCACAAGCGGUGGAGUAUGUGGUUUAAUUCGAUGCAACGCGAAGAACCUUACCAAGGCUUGACAUCCUGCGAAUCUCCGAGAAAUUGGAGAGUGCCUUCGGGAACGCAGUGACAGGUGGUGCAUGGCUGUCGUCAGCUCGUGUCGUGAGAUGUUGGGUUAAGUCCCGCAACGAGCGCAACCCACGUUUUUAGUUGCCAGCAUUCAGUUGGGCACUCUAGAAAGACUGCCGGUGACAAACCGGAGGAAGGUGUGGACGACGUCAAGUCAUCAUGCCCCUUACGCCUUGGGCUACACACGUACUACAAUGCUGCGGACAAAGAGUAGCGAUCUUGCAAAAGUUAGCUAAUCUCGUAAACCGUGGCUCAGUUCAGAUCGUAGGCUGCAACUCGCCUACGUGAAGGAGGAAUCGCUAGUAAUCGCAGGUCAGCAUACUGCGGUGAAUACGUUCCCGG